ACCGGAUCUGUUACACGGAAUUUUUUCGUCGAAAAUGUGAUUACUUUCCUUCAAAAUUUAAAAUGUCCGUCAGUCAACCAAGUACCGCUGCUUCCGAAGAAAUUUACGAUGAUGAUUCUAAGGAUGAAGAAACGAGCAUCAAAGUUGUGGUUAGGGUACGUCCUUUAAUGAAUCAUGAGAAAGGAAUUAAUGUGCAAGCUGUGCAAUUUCCGGCAGCGGGUCAGAUAAUGGU